rnacentral:rRNA from 1 species
GCUCAGGAUGAACGCUGGCGGCGUGCCUAAUACAUGCAAGUCGAGCGAACGGACGAGAGUGCUUGCACUCUUUGAUGUUAGCGGCGGACGGGUGAGUAACACGUGGGUAACCUACCUAUAAGACCGGGAUAACUUCGGGAAACCGGAGCUAAUACCGGAUAAUAUUUUUCUCUGCAUGGAGGAAUAGUGAAAGACGGUUUUGCUGUCACUUAUAGAUGGACCCGCGGUGUAUUAGCUAGUUGGUGAGGUAACGGCUCACCAAGGCAACGAUACAUAGCCGACCUGAGAGGGUGAUCGGCCACACUGGGACUGAGACACGGCCCAGACUCCUACGGGAGGCAGCAGUAGGGAAUCUUCCGCAAUGGACGAAAGUCUGACGGAGCAACGCCGCGUGAGUGAAGAAGGUUUUCGGAUCGUAAAACUCUGU